GGGUUGUGAGGUUAAGCGACUAAGCGUACACGGUGGAUGCCCUGGCAGUCAGAGGCGAUGAAGGACGUGCUAAUCUGCGAAAAGCGUCGGUAAGGUGAUAUGAACCGUUACAGCCGGCGAUGUCCGAAUGGGGAAACCCAGUGCAAUUCGUUGCACUAUCGUUAACUGAAUACAUAGGUUAACGAGGCGAACCGGGGGAACUGAAACAUCUAAGUACCCCGAGGAAAAGAAAUCAACCGAGAUUCCCCCAGUAGCGGCGAGCGAACGGGGAGCAGCCCAGAGUCUGAAUCAGCUUGUGUGUUAGUGGAACGGUCUGGAAAGUCCGACGGUACAGGGUGAUAGUCCCGUACACCAAAAUGCACAGGUUGUGAACUCGAAGAGUAGGGCGGGACACGUGGUAUCCUGUCUGAAUAUGGGGGGACCAUCCUCCAAGGCUAAAUACUCCUGACUGACCGAUAGUGAACCAGUACCGUGAGGGAAAGGCGAAAAGAACCCCGGCGAGGGGAGUGAAAAAGAACCUGAAACCGUGUACGUACAAGCAGUGGGAGCACCUUCGGGUGUGACUGCGUACCUUUUGUAUAAUGGGUCAGCGACUUAUAUUCUGUAGCAAGGUUAACCGUAUAGGGGAGCCGCAGGGAAACCGAGUCUUAACUGGGCGUUAAGUUGCAGGGUAUAGACCCGAAACCCGGUGAUCUAGCCAUGGGCAGGUUGAAGGUUGGGUAACACUAACUGGAGGACCGAACCGACUAAUGUUGAAAAAUUAGCGGAUGACUUGUGGCUGGGGGUGAAAGGCCAAUCAAACCGGGAGAUAGCUGGUUCUCCCCGAAAGCUAUUUAGGUAGCGCCUCGUGAACUCAUCUUCGGGGGUAGAGCACUGUUUCGGCUAGGGGGUCAUCCCGACUUACCAACCCGAUGCAAACUACGAAUACCGAAGAAUGUUAUCACGGGAGACACACGGCGGGUGCUAACGUCCGUCGUGAAGAGGGAAACAACCCAGACCGCCAGCUAAGGUCCCAAAGUCAUGGUUAAGUGGGAAACGAUGUGGGAAGGCACAGACAGCCAGGAUGUUGGCUUAGAAGCAGCCAUCAUUUAAAGAAAGCGUAAUAGCUCACUGGUCGAGUCGGCCUGCGCGGAAGAUGUAACGGGGCUAAACCAUGCACCGAAGCUGCGGCAGCGACACUAUGUGUUGUUGGGUAGGGGAGCGUUCUGUAAGCCUGCGAAGGUGUGCUGUGAGGCAUGCUGGAGGUAUCAGAAGUGCGAAUGCUGACAUAAGUAACGAUAAAGCGGGUGAAAAGCCCGCUCGCCGGAAGACCAAGGGUUCCUGUCCAACGUUAAUCGGGGCAGGGUGAGUCGACCCCUAAGGCGAGGCCGAAAGGCGUAGUCGAUGGGAAACAGGUUAAUAUUCCUGUACUUGGUGUUACUGCGAAGGGGGGACGGAGAAGGCUAUGUUAGCCGGGCGACGGUUGUCCCGGUUUAAGCAUGUAGGCUGGUUGUCCAGGCAAAUCCGGAUAAUCAAGGCUGAGGUGUGAUGACGAGGCACUACGGUGCUGAAGUAACAAAUGCCCUGCUUCCAGGAAAAGCCUCUAAGCAUCAGGUAACAUUAAAUCGUACCCCAAACCGACACAGGUGGUCAGGUAGAGAAUACCAAGGCGCUUGAGAGAACUCGGGUGAAGGAACUAGGCAAAAUGGUGCCGUAACUUCGGGAGAAGGCACGCUGGUGUGUAGGUGAAGCCCCUGCGGGUGGAGCUGAGACCAGUCGAAGAUACCAGCUGGCUGCAACUGUUUAUUAAAAACACAGCACUGUGCAAACACGAAAGUGGACGUAUACGGUGUGACGCCUGCCCGGUGCCGGAAGGUUAAUUGAUGGGGUUAUCCGUAAGGAGAAGCUCUUGAUCGAAGCCCCGGUAAACGGCGGCCGUAACUAUAACGGUCCUAAGGUAGCGAAAUUCCUUGUCGGGUAAGUUCCGACCUGCACGAAUGGCGUAAUGAUGGCCAGGCUGUCUCCACCCGAGACUCAGUGAAAUUGAACUCGCUGUGAAGAUGCAGUGUACCCGCGGCAAGACGGAAAGACCCCGUGAACCUUUACUAUAGCUUGACACUGAACAUUGAGCCUUGAUGUGUAGGAUAGGUGGGAGGCUUUGAAGCGUGGACGCCAGUCUGCGUGGAGCCAACCUUGAAAUACCACCCUUUAAUGUUUGAUGUUCUAACGUUGGCCCCUUACCGGGGUUGCGGACAGUGUCUGGUGGGUAGUUUGACUGGGGCGGUCUCCUCCCAAAGCGUAACGGAGGAGCACGAAGGUUAGCUAAUCCUGGUCGGACAUCAGGAGGUUAGUGCAAUGGCAUAAGCUAGCUUGACUGCGAGCGUGACGGCGCGAGCAGGUGCGAAAGCAGGUCAUAGUGAUCCGGUGGUUCUGAAUGGAAGGGCCAUCGCUCAACGGAUAAAAGGUACUCCGGGGAUAACAGGCUGAUACCGCCCAAGAGUUCAUAUCGACGGCGGUGUUUGGCACCUCGAUGUCGGCUCAUCACAUCCUGGGGCUGAAGUAGGUCCCAAGGGUAUGGCUGUUCGCCAUUUAAAGUGGUACGCGAGCUGGGUUUAGAACGUCGUGAGACAGUUCGGUCCCUAUCUGCCGUGGGCGCUGGAGAAUUGAGGGGGGCUGCUCCUAGUACGAGAGGACCGGAGUGGACGCAUCACUGGUGUUCGGGUUGUCAUGCCAAUGGCACUGCCCGGUAGCUAAAUGCGGAAGAGAUAAGUGCUGAAAGCAUCUAAGCACGAAACUUGCCCCGAGAUGAGUUCUCCCUGAGACUUUAAGUCUCCUGAAGGAACGUUAAAGACGAUGACGUUGAUAGGCCGGGUGUGUAAGCGCAGCGAUGCGUUGAGCUAACCGGUACUAAUGAACCGUGAGGCUUAACCUUACAACGCCGAAG
rnacentral:rRNA from 1 species